CACGUAGGGCGCAAGCGUUGUCCGGAAUUAUUGGGCGUAGAAGAGCUCGUAGGCGGUCUGUUGCGUCCGCUGUGAAAACUCGGGGCUUAACCCCGAGCCUGCAGUGGAUACGGGCAGACUAGAGGUAGGUAGGGGAGAAUGGAAUUCCCGGUGUAGCGGUGAAAUGCGCAGAUAUCGGGAGGAACACCGGUGGCGAAGGCGGUUCUCUGGGCCUUACCUGACGCUGAGGAGCGAAAGCGUGGGGAGCGAACAGG
rnacentral:rRNA from 1 species